rnacentral:tRNA from 1 species
GCCCUCGUAGCUCAGUUGGAUAGAGCGUCUGCCUCCGGAGCAGAAGGCCGCAGGUUCGAAUCCUGUCGAGGGCACCA